AUUGAACGCUGGCGGCAUGCCUUACACAUGCAAGUCGAACGGCAGCACGGGAGCAAUCCUGGUGGCGAGUGGCGAACGGGUGAGUAAAGCAUCGGAACGUGCCCAGUCGUGGGGGAUAACGUAGCGAAAGCUACGCUAAUACCGCAUACGAUCUGUGGAUGAAAGCGGGGGACCGUAAGGCCUCGCGCGAUUGGAGCGGCCGAGGUCAGAUUAGGUAGUUGGUGAGGUAAAGGCUCACCAAGCCGACGAUCUGUAGCUGGUCUGAGAGGACGACCAGCCACACUGGGACUGAGACACGGCCCAGACGCCUGCGGGAGGCAGCAGUGGGGAAUUUUGGACAAUGGGCGCAAGCCUGAUCCAGCAAUGCCGCGUGCAGGAUGAAGGCCUUCGGGUUGUAAACUGCUUUUGUACGGAGCGAAAAGGCUUCCACUAAUACUGGGGGCUCAUGACGGUACCGUAAGAAUAAGCACCGGCUAACUACGUGCCAGCCGCCGCCGUAAAAC
rnacentral:rRNA from 1 species